CAGACACAGCUUAGACAGCUUGUGUCCUCAGCACAACCAUCAUACUGAAUGUGCCCUGGAGAAAACAGACCUGGAGUCAGUUGAGAGGACAUUGAGCUGUUCAGGCUGGGCCCCCCAUCUUAGACUACGUUCUGCCACUCCUAAGCAGCUGUGAGCAUUCCUCAAGCCUUUCACCCUGAGGAUGGAAUGUAGUCUAGGACCUCUCCAUUUCGUCUGCCCAAGUGAGCUGGGGACCGAACCCAGGGCCUUGCGCUUCCUAGGUCAUAUGGGAUGCCGUCUUGGACUUUUAACUGCAAUGAAUAAAGCAGAUUCAGUCAGGUCUAUGGUAAUGAAGGCUGCAUUUGAUUUAGGGAGAUGUCUAAGUAUAUAGGAGGUGAGAGCCCCCAAGGGUCCAGGCUAACAAUGGGCCUUUACAUCUGCUGACUCUUCAAAUGAAAAACGUUCUACCUCCUGCCCAGAACAGUAGAAGGAAGGCACCAUUCUUCAUUUUGAUUGGGUGGACCUGAUCUAAUUUCCUUGAACAGCAGAGACCUUAUUUCAAGUGACCUAAGUCCUUAUGUAUCUCUUUUAGAAAAUCCAGUAGUUUUAUUUGUAUUCCUAAGGUCAAAGCAGUUUGGAGAAUAUUUACAGUUGAUGGAUGAUUUAUACUUUUUUCUAUGACAAAAAUAUUAGCCUUUAAAAAUCUGAGUGAAACAGAUAUGUAGAUGGAAAUGACUCAUUACUAUCAAUAGAAGCAAAGAGUAUUAGGCCACCAUGCAUAACUGUAGUCAUCCAAAUAAGGCAAACGAACAAUGCCAGAAGAAAGACCUACAAGCCUAAUGAGGAACUGUCUGAAAAGGAGAUGCACACAGCAAAUCCAACGGUGUCUACUGCCUCCAGGCUGCAGGGGGAGCUCUUCCAUCCCUAAAGUUUCCCCAUUUGCAAAAACUGUGGCCCUUCAUCUGUCCUGAUUAAAUAACAAACCUUUUUGAGAGACAUCUCUCCUUUAUUUCUACAUUUUCUGCAUAAAUCCCAAUCAAACAGUUCAGCUCUAAUGAAUACCCUCUAUUGUGUUCAGACACUCCUCUUUUUCUGACAAUCUUUGGCUGCUUUUGAGUCUUAUGUAAAAUAGAGGUCAACAGAGCACUCUUUGUUGCAUGCAGAUUUUGCUGGUCAUUGUUUAUGUUGAUAUUCAAAGACCAAAGUGUAAAUGUUUUUUUAAGAAAUUAAACUGUAAGAGUAAAUAAUUUUCUUGA
rnacentral:sRNA from 1 species